rnacentral:lncRNA from 1 species
GACAUGUUGCCUAAAGAUUGAAGAGUCCGUUUGAGAUGCGGUUCAAUCCCCAGCCAGGAUCCGGGUCUACAGAUCUAAUAAGCCUUCUGGGAUCUGCAUUCCUCACCCCGUGCUGGAGGAUAUCAUUUUGACAACAGACGUGUUUAGCCACUUGGAACUCCUGGUGGUUAGGAGAACACGCCAUCCUGUGUUCCUUGAGGUCUAAAGCCAGUCCCAUCCCUGAGGGCACUUGACUUUCAAUAUCAACUGAUUGGUGACCAGAGUCUAGGCAUCUGGAUUUUAGUUCACACAGAGCCAGUUCAAACUCCUGAGCUCUGAGCUCCUUCUGGUUGCAACACUUUUGGUUCUGAGAACCAGAAGCGAACAGGAGAUCUGUAUGUAACGCAUAGCUUUUCUGUUCCCAGAAACCCUAGGACUCCAGGCAAAUCACUCGUACUCCAUAAGCUUCUGCCUUUCUGCUCUCUCCAAAGGAUAUGAAGUACUAAAGCCUUACCAGGAGGUUACAAGCCUCUCUGGGAUCAAUACAUAUCCAAGUGUCUUGAAAGCACACCUCUUGGGUAUUGUCUUGGUGGUCGUAGUGGCUUCUGUUGCUGGGGCUAUCUGAGAGAGGUCUGAGAAGGUCAGACUGCUUUGAGCACAGAAACCCACAGAAGCAGGAUCCAG